rnacentral:snRNA from 1 species
AUCACUUCUCGGACUUUUGGCUAAGAUCAAGUGUAGUAUCUAUUCUUAUCAGUUUGUUAUCUGAUAUGUCCUCUAUCCAAGGACAAUAUAUUAAAUGGAUUUUUGAAACAGGAAGAUGGAAUAGGAGCUUGCUCCAUCCACUCCACACAUCGACCUGAUAGUGCGGUACCUCCAAGAAUGGUGCACCUCUC